rnacentral:misc_RNA from 1 species
GAACUGCGAUAAGUAAUGUGAAUUGCAGAAUUCAGUGAAUCAUCGAGUCUUUGAACGCACAUUGCGCCCCCUGGCAUUCCGGGGGGCAUGCCUGUCCGAGCGUCAUUGCUGCCCUUCAAGCCCGGCUUGUGUGUUGGGUCGUCGUCCCCUCCGGGGGACGGGCCCGAAAGGCAGCGGCGGCACCGCGCCCGGUCCUCGAGCGUAUGGGGCUUUGUCACCCGCUCGAUAAGGACCGGCCGGGCGCCAGCCGGCGUCUCCAACCUUUUUUUCUCAGGUUGACCUCGGAUCAGGUAGGGAUACCCGCUGAACUUAAGC